rnacentral:rRNA from 1 species
ACGUAGGGGGCGAGCGUUGUCCGGAAUUAUUGGGCGUAAAGAGGGAGCAGGCGGCAACAAGGGUCUGCGGUUAAAGACUGAAGCUUAACUUCAGAAAGCCGUGGAAACCAAGUAGCUAGAGUGCAUUAGAGGAUCGUGGAAUUUCAUGUGUAGCGGUGAAAUGCGUAGAUAUAUGGAGGAACACCAGUGGCGAAGGCGACGAUCUGGGAUGUAACUGACGCUCAGUCCCGAAAGCGUGGGGAGCAAAUAG